GAUGAACGCUGGCGGCGUGCCUAAUACAUGCAAGUCGAGCGGACGGACGAGAAGCUUGCUUCUCGGAUGUUAGCGGCGGACGGGUGUGUAACACGUGGAUAACCUACCUAUAAGACUGGGAUAACUUCGGGAAACCGGAGCUAAUACCGGAUAAUAUUUUGAACCGCAUGGUGCAAAAGUAAAAGACGGUCUUGCGGUCACUUAUAGAUGGAUCCGCGCUGCAUUAGCUAGUUGGUAAGUUAACGGCUUACCAAGGCAACGAUGCAUAGCCGACGUGAGAGGGUGAUAGGCCACACUGGAACUGAGACACGGUCCAGACUCCUGCGGGAGGCAGCAGUAGGGAAUCUUCCGCAAUGGGCGAAAGCCUGACGGAGCAACGCCGCGUGAGUGAUGACGGUCUUCGGAUCGUAAAACUCUGUUAUUAGGGAAGAACAUAUGUGUAAGUAACUGUGCACAUCUUGACGGUACCUAAUCAGAAAGCAACGGCUAACUACGUG
rnacentral:rRNA from 1 species